rnacentral:rRNA from 1 species
GAUGAACGCUAGCGGCAGGCCUAACACAUGCAAGUCGAGGGGUAACAUAGAAAAGCUUGCUUUUCUGAUGACGACCGGCGCACGGGUGCGUAACGCGUGUACAACCUACCUUUUAGCGGGGAAUAGCCCAGGGAAACUUGGAUUAAUGCCUCAUAGUAUAUAAGCUUCUCCUGAAGUUUAUAUUAAACAUUUAUGGCUAUUAGAUGGGUAUGCGUCCUAUUAGUUAGUUGGUAAGGUAACGGCUUACCAAGGCAGCGAUAGGUAGGGGUCCUGAGAGGGAGAUCCCCGCACUGGUACUGAGACACGGACCAGACUCCUACGGGAGGCAGCAGUGAGGAAUAUUGGACAAUGGGCGAGAGCCUGAUCCAGCCAUGCCGCGUGCAGGAAGACUGCCCUAUGGGUUGUAAACUGCUUUUACAGAGGAAGAACCACCCCCACGUGUGGGGGUUUGACGGUACUCUGCGAAUAAGAAUCGGCUAACUCCGUG